CCUGGUUGAUCUUGCCAGUAGUCAUAUGCUUGUCUCACAGAUUAAGCCAUGCAAGUGAAAGUACAUAUGUAAAUAAUAUAUUGAAACUGCGAACGGCUCAUUAAAACAGUUAUAAUCUACUUGAUGUUUUUAAUAUAAGGAUAACUACGGAAAAUCUGUAGCUAAUACUUGUGAAAAUACCUUUUGAUAUAUACAUAUGUAUGUAUCAUUAAGGUAUGUAUUUGUUAGAUAUAAGAAUAAAAUAAAUAUAAUUGAAUUAUAACAAAGAAGAAACACAUAAAAUAUGUGUAUUAUCAAUCGAGUAUCUGACCUAUCAGCUUUUGAUGUUAGGGUAUUGACCUAACAUGGCUAUGACGGGUAACGGGGAAUUAGAGUUCGAUUCCGGAGAGGGAGCCUGAGAAAUAGCUACCACAUCUAAGGAAGGCAGCAGGCGCGUAAAUUACCCAAUUCUAAAAAAGAGAGGUAGUGACAAGAAAUAACAAUACAAUAUCGAAAAAUGAUUUUGUAAUUGGAAUGAUAGGAAUUUACAAGGUUCCUAGAGAAACAAUUGGAGGGCAAGUCUGGUGCCAGCAGCCGCGGUAAUUCCAGCUCCAAUAGCAUAUAUUAAAAUUGUUGCAGUUAAAACGUUCGUAGUUGAAUAUUAAAGAAUCCGAUGUUUCAUUUAAACUGGUUUGGGAAAACCAAAUAUAUUAUAUAUUUUGCUUUGUUCAAAAUAAGGUUUUCUAAUAAAUUAUGUUUUUAUCAGAUAUGACAGAAUCUUUUUUAAAAUCUCUUCAAUAUGCUUUUAUUGCUUUUGAGAGGUUUUGUUACUUUGAGUAAAAUUAAGUGUUCAUAACAGACGGGUAGUCAUGAUUGAGUUCAUUGUGUUUGAAUACUACAGCAUGGAAUAACAAAUAUGAAUAAGCUAAUUAUUUUUUUUUUUCAUAAUUUUUUUUGAUAUUCUUAUUAGCUUAGUUACGAUUAAUAGGAGUAGCUUUGGGGGCAUUCGUAUUCAGAUGUCAGAGGUGAAAUUCUAAGAUUUUCUGGAGACGGACUACUGCGAAAGCAUUUGCCUAAUCUAUUUCCAUUAAUCAAGAACGAAAGUUAAGGGAGUGAAGACGAUCAGAUACCGUCGUAAUCUUAACCAUAAACUAUACCGACUAGGUGUUGGAUGAAUAUAAAAAAUAUAUAAAUAUGUAGCAUUUCUUAGGGAAUGUUGAUUUUAUAUUAGAAUUGCUUCCUUCAGUACCUUAUGAGAAAUCAAAGUCUUUGGGUUCUGGGGCGAGUAUUCGCGCAAGCGAGAAAGUUAAAAGAAUUGAA
rnacentral:rRNA from 1 species